AUUUAAGUAGUUUAUUAAAAAUAUUGAUUUGUGGAAUCAAAGAUGUAUACAUAUAUUUUAAAUA
rnacentral:tRNA from 1 species